UCUUGGCUCACUGCAGCCUCCGCCUCCCGGGUUCAAGCGAUUCUCCUGCCUCAGCCUCCCGAGUAGCUAGGAUUACAGGUGCGUGCCACCACGCCCAGCUAAUUUUUAUAUGUUUAGUGGAAAUGGAGUUUCACCAUGUUGGUCAGGCUGGUCUCAAACUCCUGACCUCAUGAUCCGCCUUCCUCGGCCUCCCAAAGUGCUGGGAUUACAGGUGUUAGCCACUGCGCCCGGCCCUAGAGCUCACUGUUUUCUAGUUAGUCCAUCUGGAAGUGGAGCCUUUUUCCAGUUUGCACAAAUGUGCCAUAUUGGCUUGUAGCUGGCAUGCAUCCAAGUCCAUAGGUCCUGCCUCUUCAAUCCUGGCUUUCUAGGGCCUGGGAUGAUCAUUGCUAGAACUGAGAGACCAGCCUGGCUCAGUGAACUUCAGGGCGUUCCGUUCAUUCUUUCAGUAAAUGUUUGCAGCACAUGUGUUACAUGUCAGGCAGUGAAACCCCCCACAGCAGCCUUCCCUCUCAGAGGAUACAUUUGUAACCAUUACACAGUCAUCAAAGGAAUAAUUUUUUUUAAUCACCAGUGUGCAUACAGUCAUGGAGUUGGGUAUUCCCAGCUACCAGGGAGGCUGAGGUGGGAGGAUUGCUUGAUGCCAGGAGUUAGGGAAUAUAGUGCACCGUGAUUGGACUUGCGAAUAGCCACUGCACUGCGGCCUGGACGACGUAGUGAUACCCUGACUCUUAUAAAUAAAUAAAUGAAUAAACACAAUUAUGACUUUGCGGAUGGGAGAAAAGGUUCUCUGAGAGCGUAUUACAUAAGUAUCACAUGAACUCCAAAAUACAUCUUAGGCCAGGCAUGGUGGCUGUAAUCCCAGCACUUUGGGAGGGUAAGGCGGGCGGAUCACCUGAGGUCAGGAGUUCGAGACUAGCCUGGGCAACAUAGUGAAACCCUGUCUCUACUAAACAUACAAAACAUUAGCCAGGGGUGGUGGUGCAGACCUGUAGUCCCAGCUACUUGGCAGGCUUAAGCAGGAGAAUCGUUUGCACCAGGGAGGCAGAGGUUGCAGUGAGCCAGGAUCACACCAUUGCACUCUAGCCUGGACAACAGAGUGAGACUCCAUCUCAAAAAAAAAAAAAAAAUUCUUAAGAGUAGAUGGAAUCCUAUUACAAGUCUGGAUCAAAAAGGCAGCUUUGGCUGGGUGCAGUGGCUCACACCUGUAAUCCCAGCACUUUGGGAAGCUGAGGCAGAUGGAUCACUUGAGGUUAGGAGUUCAAGACCAGCCUGGCCAACAUAGUGAAACCCUGUCUCUACUAAAAAUACAAAAUUAGCUAGGCGUGGUGGUGCAUGCCUGUAAUCCCAGCUGCUAGGGAGGCUGAGACAGAAGAAUCGCUUGAACCUGGGAGAUGGAGGUUGCAGUGAGCUGAGAUCACACCAUUGCACUGCAGCCUGGGCAACAAGAGCGAAACUUGGUCAAAAAAAAGAACAAGGCAACUUUUACAACGAUUUUUUAGAUCUCAAUAUUACAGUAUUUUCUCCAGACUACCCACAAAUACAUACUGUGCACCUAUCAUGUAUCAGAAAGCAAUCUAGGAGAUACGAUCCCUGCUCUCAAGACGGCAUUAACAAAUCACUUCAAAAUAUAAUUGGUACAGGCCAGGUGCAGUGGCUCACGCCUGUAAUCCCAACACUUUGGGAGGCCAAGGUGGCAGGGUCACUUGAGAGCAAGAGUUCAAGACCAGCUUGGGCAACAUAGGGAGAUCCUGUCUCUACAAAAAAUAAAAAACUAACUGGGUAUAGUGGAAUACAACUGUAGGACCAGCUACUCGGAAGGCUGAAGUGGGAGGAUCAAUUGAGCCCAGGAGUUUGGGGCUUCAGUGAGCCACAAUCACACCUGUGCAUAGCCACUGCAUUCCAAAGUCGCAACAUAGCAAGACACCAUCACUAACAAAAUUUUUAAAAAUCGAAAAGAUACAGGCCAGGCGUGGUGGCUCACGCCUGUAAUCCCAGCACUUUGGGAGGCCGAGGCAGGUGGAUCACAAAGUCAAGAGAUCAAGACCAUCCUGGCCAACAUGGUGAAACCCUGCCUCUACUAAAAAUACAAAAAUUAGCUGCUGUGGUGGCACGCACCUGUAGUCCCAGCUACUCGGGAGGCUGAGGCAGGAGAACUGCUUGAAUCCGGGAGGUGGAGGUUGCAGUGAGCCGAGAUUGUGCCACUGCACUCCAGCCUGCCAGUAGCGCGAGACUCCGUCUAAAAAAAAAAAAGAUAAUUGAAAAGAUACAAUUAGAUCCUGAGGCAAGCAGGUGCUAUGGCUCACAUCUGUAAUCCCAGCACUUUGGGAGGCCAAGGUGGGUGGAUCACUUCAGAUCAGGAGUUUGAGACCAGCCUGGCUGACAUGGUGAAACUCUGUCUGUGCUAAAAAUACAAAAAUUAGCCAGGCGUGGUGGUGCACACCUGUAAUCCCAGCUACUCGGGAGGCUGAGUCAGUAGAAUCACUUGAACCCAGGAGGUGAAGUUUGCAAUGAACUGACAUAUCGCCACUGUACUCCAGCCUGGGCAAAAGAGCGAAACUCAAGAGAGAGAGAGAGAGAAAAGAGAGAAAGAAAAGAGAAAGAAAGAAAAGAAAGAAACAAAGAAGGAAGGAAGGAAAGAAAGAAAGAAAGACAAAGAAAGAAAGGAAAGAAAGAAAGAAAGAAAGAAAGAAAGAAAGAAAGAA
rnacentral:lncRNA from 10 species